rnacentral:misc_RNA from 1 species
AACUUUUGACAAUGGAUCUCUUGGUUCCGGCAUCGAUGAAGAACGCAGCGAAACGCGAUAGUUAAUGUGAAUUGCAGAAUUCAGUGAAUCAUCGAGUCUUUGAACGCACAUUGCGCCCCCUGGUAUUCCGGGGGGCAUGCCUGUCCGAGCGUCAUUGCUGCCCAUCAAGCGCGGCUUGUGUGUUGGGCCGCCGUCCCUCCCCCCGGGGGGACGGGCCCGAAAGGCAGCGGCGGCACCGCGUCCGGUCCUCGAGCGUAUGGGGCUCUGUCACCCGCUCUGGAGGCCCGGCCGGCGCCCGUCGACCCCCAACCUUCUUUCUAACCAGGUUGACCUCGGAUCAGGUAGGGAUACCCGCUGAAUUUAAGCAUAUCAAUAAGCGGAGGCU